UGGCACCAAGGUGGAUAUUGACGUACCCUGGCAGAUUGUCAGCAGAUUGGAUUUUCUGAGAUCAGCAGCCCCAUCGUCUUCUUGUUUUACAGGUGUGUGUGGUCUUAGCUUCCCGACCGGGAUUGAACCAGCACCACCUGCAUUGGGAGAUGAAGUCUUAACCACUAGACCAGCCCAGAAGUCCUAGAACUGAAGCUACUUGAGAGCAGCAGCUAGGGAGCCUCUGCUUAUGAGUCCAUGCCUGGAGAGACUGCUUCAUCUAUUGACAUGUGGAUGGACAAGCCCAGAGCCACAGAUUCCAUGUGGCCGAAGCUUCUGGACAAGGUGUGCGUCUCAGGAGUAUUAAUCUGCUGCUUUCAAGUCAAGCCUUGGAUGGGAAUGAGGUGACAAGGUCAAGAAUUCACACGCCUCUAGCCUCUUACGUCAGACUGACUACAAAAUACUACACAGUGGGCCAGCAGGACCAACCAGUGUCCAGGACCAAUUAGUCUCCCAUUCCAACAUCUGGGGCCACUGAUGUUUUGUCUUUGCAGGCAGCUGCCGGGGAGGCCAUAACCUGCUUUCUGGUCCCAGGCUUCUUUCCGUUUGCCAGUAGAAUCCUGAAUAUGUAAGAACUAAGCCAUUACCUUAUUCUCAUUCCUACAGGGUCACCUUUGGAAAGUCAAGCUAGAAAUGCCUGCAGGAAGAAAAUGCCUCUGUUCUGUUUAAUGCUCUUCGUUCAUUCAUUCUUUUCAAAAAUAUCUGUAGAGCAGGUGCCAGGGGCUACGCUGAGCACUGGCAAUUCAGUCGGGAACAAAACCAAAAGUGGACUCUGCUCUCAUGGGAUUUAUAGCCAGGUGGGAAGGCAGAUACUAACCCAAGACAUAAACAAACUAAUGAGGGUGUAGCUUUGAACUUGGGGAAGUGUUAGAACAGAAAGGGGACAAUUCUGUGGAAGUGUAUGUAGCUGAGGCUACUGACUGGUCCCUCAGCAGCCAGCCUCCCAUCUUGACUCACUGAAUCCCUGAUUUGUUGGAGGGACUAAUGGGCCCAGCUAGAAUAUGACUUUUCCUAACCUCUCCUGAAGAUGGCUCAGUGGGUAAAGAACCAGCCUGUAAAGCAGGAGACCCAGGAGAUGCAGGUUCAAUCCCUGGGUCC